rnacentral:sRNA from 1 species
UGUCGAACGCAGUGAGACAACGGAGCCGCCUGCGGCGACGGCCCGAAGGGCGAGCGAAGCGAGUCAUCCUGCACGACCCACCA